CGAGGCGGUACUCCUUGAACCCGCGGUUGGAGACGGCCUCGCCGGCGCCCUUGUUGGUGACGAGGAAGGCGAAGAGGGUGAAGGCGAAGAGGAGGAGGAUGAGGAGGAACAUGGCGACAAGGUAGAGCCAGAGGAGGAGGGAGGCCCUGCAGCAGGCGCCGACGAGGCCGGCGAGGGAGACGAGCAUGAGGAAGGCGCCGAGGACGAUGAGCGGCACCGUGAGGAAGCGCUCGCACUCGGUGCCGGACCCGCCGCCGCGGGUGGCGAGCCACACGCCGCCGCCGAGCACGGGCACGGAGAGGAGGAAGGUGAGGAGGUUGAGCACCCCGAUGAGGUUGUUGCUGAGCCUAAACAUCGCGAUCCACCCCAACCAAUGCCCACGCGUAGCACUCCGAGGAUGAUGAGGUCGUGGUAAUGGAGAUAGAUAGAGAGAGAGAGAGAGAGAGAGAGAGAGAGGA
rnacentral:lncRNA from 1 species